rnacentral:rRNA from 1 species
GACGAACGCUGGCGGCGUGCUUAACACAUGCAAGUCGAACGGAAAGGCCCUGCUUUCGUGGGGUUCUCGCGUGGCGAACGGGUGAGUAACACGUGAGUAUCCUGCCCUUGACUUUGUGAUAACUUCAGGAAACUGGUGCUAAUACCGGAUAGGAGCUCCUGCUGCAUGGUGGGGGUCGGACAGUUUCGGCGGAUGGGGAUGGACUCGCGGGUUAUCAGCUUGUUGGUGGGGUAGUGGCUUACCGAGGCUUUGACGGGUAGCCGGCCUGAGAGGGUGAAAGGCCACAUUGGGACUGAGAUACGGACCAGACUCCUACGGGAGGCAGAGGUGGGAAGUAUUGCACAGUGGGCGGAAGUGUGAUGCAGCAACGCUGCGUGCGGGAUGACGGCCAUCGGGUUGUAAAGCGCAUUCGGCUGUGACGAAGCGUGAGUGACGGUAAUGGGUGAAGAAGCACCGGCUAACUACGUG